AUUGAACGCUGGCGGCAUGCUUUACACAUGCAAGUCGAGCGGCAGCGCGGGGGCAACCCUGGCGGCGAGCGGCGAACGGGUGAGGAAACCAUCGGAACGUGCCCGAGAGUGGGGGAUAACGCCGCGAAAGCGGCGCUAAUACCGCAUAUUCUCUGAGGAGGAAAGUGGGGGACCGCAAGGCCUCACGCUCCCGGAGCGGCCGAUGUCGGAUUAGCUAGUUGGUGGGGUAAAGGCUUACCAAGGCGACGAUCCGUAGCUGGUCUGAGAGGAUGAUCAGCCACACUGGGACUGAGACACGGCCCAGACUCCUACGGGAGGCAGCAGUGGGGAAUUUUGGACAAUGGGGGCAACCCUGAUCCAGCCAUGCCGCGUGCGGG
rnacentral:rRNA from 1 species